rnacentral:rRNA from 1 species
CGAACGCACAUCCGUUGAAAAGGGUGGCGAUGAGGUGUGGAUAGGGGAGAAAUUCCAAUCGAACCCGGAGAUAGCUGGUUCUCCUCGAAAUAGUUUUAGGACUAGCCUCGUUAUUAGUCUACCGGAGGUAGAGCACUGAAUUUUUGCGGGGGCGUCAAAGCCUACCAAGAGAUAUCAAACUCCGAAUGCCGGCUAGAUGAUUGACGGGAGUCAGACUACACGAGAUAAGUUGGGUAGUCAAAAGGGAAAGAGCCCAGACCUACGGCUAAGGUCCCAAAGUGUGUGUUAAGUGGAAAAGGAUGUGGGAUUUCGAAGACAGCUAGGAUGUUGGCUUAGAAGCAGCCAUACAUUAAAAGAGUGCGUAACAGCUCACUAGUCGAGAGGUCCUGCGCCGAAAAUGUCCGGGGCUAAACACAACACCGAAGCCUAGGAAUGUAUUAUAUACAUUGGUAGAGGAGCAUUCUUAGAGGCGUAGAAGCCAUACCGGAAGGAAUGGUGGAGUAAUAAGAAGAGAGAAUGCCGGAAUGAGUAGCGAGAAAGAGGUGAGAAUCCUCUUGGCCGAAUAUCUAAGGUUUCCUGAGUAAAGCUGAUCUACUCAGGGUAAGUCGGGGCCUAAGGCAAGGUCGAAAGACGUAGUCGAUGGAUAACAGGUACAGAUUCCUGUACUACAUAUAAUCAGAACUGUGGGGACACGGAGACUGAAACCGAACCCGGGAGGACAAAAACCGGGGCAAGCGAAGUACCUGUAUGGGAGGAAAAACCACCAUGCAAUGGGAAAACGUGAUGCGUACCGAAAAUUAGUAGGGAAGUCGGUUAGGGAGCCGUCAAGAAAAGCCGCUAUUGUGUUAUAUGUACCCGUACCGCAAACCGACACAGGUAGAUGAGGAGAGAAUCCUAAGGCCGGCGGGAGAAGCAUUGUUAAGGAACUCGGCAAAAUGACCCCGUAACUUCGGGAGAAGGGGUGCCACUUUAAUAGAGUGGUCGCAGAAAAAAGGCUCAAGCAACUGUUUAGCAAAAACACAGGUCUAUGCGAAACCGCAAGGUGAAGUAUAUGGGCUGACGCCUGCCCGGUGCCGGAAGGUUAAGAGGAGAAGUCAGGAAACGAAGCUUUGAAUUGAAGCCCCGGUAAACGGCGGCCGUAACUAUAACGGUCCUAAGGUAGCGAAAUUCCUUGUCGGGUAAGUUCCGACCCGCACGAAAGGCGUAAUGAUUUGAGCGCUGUCUCAACAAUGCACCCGGUGAAAUUGAAGUACCAGUGAAGAUGCUGGUUACCCGCGCCAGGACGGAAAGACCCCAUGGAGCUUUACUCCAGUUUGGUACUGGGAUUCGGUAAUACUCGUACAGGAUAGGUGGGAGACGUAGAAGUAUAGACGCUAGUUUAUGCAGAGUCGCCGUUGGGAUACCACCCCUGUAUUGCUGGAUUUCUAACCUGCGGCCGUUAUCCGGCCGGGGGACAAUGCCAGACGGGGAGUUUGACUGGGGCGGUCGCCUCCGAAAGAGUAUCGGAGGCGCUCGAAGGUUCCCUCAGAAUGGUCGGAAACCAUUCAAAGAGUGCAAAGGCAGAAGGGAGCUUGACUGCGACACCGACGGGUGGAGCAGGUACGAAAGUAGGACUUAGUGAUCCGGUGGCAUAAAGUGGGAUUGCCAUCGCUCAACGGAUAAAAGCUACCCUGGGGAUAACAGGCUUAUCACUCCCAAGAGUUCACAUCGACGGAGUGGUUUGGCACCUCGAUGUCGGCUCAUCGCAUCCUGGGGCUGUAGCAGGUCCCAAGGGUUGGGCUGUUCGCCCAUUAAAGCGGUACGCGAGCUGGGUUCAGAACGUCGUGAGACAGUUCGGUCCCUAUCCGGCGUGGGCGUAAGAUAUUUGAGAGGAGCCGUCCUUAGUACGAGAGGACCGGGACGGACUGACCGCUGGUGUACCUGUUGGAGAGUAACUCCAUGGCAGGGUAGCUAUGUCGGGACGGGAUAAACGCUGAAGGCAUCUAAGCGUGAAGCCCCCCUCAAGAUGGGAUAUCUCAUGUGAAAACAGUAAGACCCCUUGAAGACUACGAGGUAGAUAGGGCCAAGAUGUAAGUACAGUAAUGUAUUGAGUUGAUGGUUACUAAUAGGUCGAGGGUUUAACCAA